GCCGCCUAUCUCCGUUCCCUCUCUCUGCUCUCACGUCUCUCUCUCCCUCGCCUCUCUCGCGCUGCCGUCGACAUGAGGAGCGCAAAGCGCCGUCCCGCCUUGACUACCGCCCUCUCCCACACGUCCUCCUCCCUGCUCCCAUUCCUCCCUCGUGGGAACCCUAGCCGCCGCGCUCUCCCACUCGUCCUCCUCCCUGCUCCCCUUCCUGGCGGCGCUCCCGACCGCCGCUUGACGUCUUCUCCUCCCCACCGUCGAACUCAGGCCGCCGCUCCGUCCCGCGUCCCCGUCGCACCUUCCCUCGAGCCGCCGCUCCGCUCCGCAUCCCCUCGCACCUCCCCUGCUGCCCGAGCCCCAAGGGCGGUGGAUCCCUUUAUUGGGGUGGACUACGGCGCUCGUAUCUCCCGCGCCGGCGCUUCCCCGUCGAGCUCGCGUGUCACGUCGUCGGGGGGAGGGAAGUUGGCGCUGCUCUUCUCGAAGGAGUGCGUCGUCGCGCCGCCGACGGGAGGAGGCCAAGCGGGACGACGGGAGGAGGUCAGGCAGAGCGCCAUCGCCACCGGUUGGCGCGUCGACGGGAGGAGGCAAGGCGGUGCCCGUCGUUGCCACCAGUUGCUCCCUACGCGGCUGAAGAGCACCAGCCGCAGGCGCUCGAUGCAGGUGAGUGCAACGCAGCAGCGGCAGAAGCUGUUGCGAGGAACUCCGGCCACACCUGCGCUCCCUCAGACCCAACCACAACAGUUGGUUGAUUUAUCCCGAUCUACUUAGCCGAUUUCAUUGCAGGGUUACUCUUGCCUUUUAUAUUUUGACCUUCUUUGUGCUUCAAUUAUCCAGGUUCAGCCCCUUUCCCUUUUCUGUUCGUCUAUUUUGUCCAUAUGAUCUAUGUGUACGGUCUGUACAUACCCAUGGAUGUAGUAUGUGUAUGGUUCUCAUCAUAGAUGUUUACUAUGGUGCCUACUACUUUUCACAGAUAUAGGGCUGAUAUUUGCUUACAAAAAAGCUCAAUGGCUCUGAAUCAAUCAUAUGCUCUCUACUACAUGUAUGUGAAAUUGCGGUUUGGAUUUCUGAUGUCUGGACAUUAACUCUUGCAGGGUGUGUGAGAACAUCUCCAUUGUCCUCUGCAGUAGUAAGGUUUCUGUGAAGAACCGGCAGGUUAAAGCCAAGAGCAACUACAACUAGGAGAAGCCCUUCCUUCAUCUUGCAAGGAAGUUGGCUGGCAAUUGUCUCCCUCCCCAUUGCUUUCAUUUGCCUGUGGCCUCACAUCAUAUAUAUAUUUUAAUGUUCUGGUUCAAUAAACACAUGGAUUGGCGAUUUGCCUUUGAUUCAACUUGUGCAGGCACAAAGCUGAGCCUGUGGCGCGGCUACUGCCUGAUGACCAUGACAAUCUGACCGAGUAGAUCGAUCAAUCAUGAGUUUUAUCAUACUUUGAGCCAAAUCUUCACGCUUUUUUCUUUUAUUUGGUUAUACUGUGUAAAUAGGAAUCAAUAAUAAAAGUAGAUGGUGCAAAGUUGUGCUCCCUAGCUUCUCUGGUGUAGCAAGUUAAUAUAUAUCUUCGUUUAUGUAGCAUCUCUGGUGUUCCAUUAUGUUCAGCUAUGUAUGUUCAUUUGGUCCCUUAGUUACUCCCUCGGCCCUCUUGGCUGCCACCGAAUGGAUUUUUAUAUUUUUGUAUAUCUUCAUGGUCCUAUGCUCCAUAUAGGCUUUUCUAUAUAUUAAAAAAAAAUCAGCUGCAUGAAAGUGAUACAUAUAUGUGAUGAUCUCUGACUUGACCUGUGCUGGGUUUACUCCUGCAGCAGUCGGUAUCCAGUAUAGCGGGUUUUGGGACGUGGGGUGGAGUAGCUACGACGGGGAGGGGCCCUGCGAUGACCUUGAUGCCUACUACCGCUACCACCAGCAUCAAGUCAGAAAAGGAAGGCUGCGGGCUAGACUGAGAGGGCGAGACUGGGGAGGCUGAGUAGGAGACCAGAUAGCGGUGAUGUCGAGGUGGAAGUAGCCAUGAUCCCUGGAGAUGUUCCUCAAGAUUCAUAUUUAUCUGUGCCUAUAUGGUGUUGCGUGAAAAUGCAAGCGGGCCGCAAGGUGCUGGUACUUGGAUCUCGGUUGCACUGGUGAGCCAUCACUUCUCUCCACCAUCCUCUUCACAAUUAUGGCCAAUUGAGCCCAGAGUCAACAUCCGACAAGUGGAGCACCCGACCAUAGGAGACGGAAGAGGAGGCGAGCUAUCCACAGUAUUGUCCUCUCCCCGCGUAGCCACCUACAUACACUGUCCACAAGUUGUAUCAACCUCCAUGUCCUGCACUUCCCCCGCCAGGUGGAAGCAGCACCAUCGACAUUCACGCCGUUUUCAUCCUUUGCAUCAAGAAUACGUCAUCCUCAUGUUGGCUCUGUGGGAGCCGAUGGGAUUACCAUGACACAUGCCAAUGUUUUGAUAGUUUAGCAAGUGGAAUUUUCUGAUGAUGUGGUUAUGUCAUGUGCUAGCAGAUAUAAAUAUUUAGUGAUAUAUGCUGGUUCAGGAAAUUGACGUUUGCUUCAACAUCUGGCUAGGUUAUGCUUUUAGGAGAUAAAUGUUCUUCUGUCAUUUUAGUUUCAAGUGCUUUUGAUUGAUAAUGUAAGGAUGUGUACAUAUAGUAAAGUUUUCUAUUACUAAUUGGUUGAGUGAUGCAAAUUAGUGAUUUUGCUCUC